rnacentral:rRNA from 1 species
NNGGGGGGGGGGCGNGGCAAGGGGACCGCNUUCCGNCCUAGAAACUNGCNCUCUAAUGCAUCUCACCCCAGGCUAAUGUAGGAAGCUCUUAUGCGCCGACAGCGCACGNCUCGCAAGGGGCGACAACCUCCAAAUCGAACAUCGUUUACGAGCGUANACNUACCGAGGGUAUCUAAUCCGUNUUUGCUCCCCACGCUUUCGCACCUAAGCGUCAGUCUUUGUCCAGGGGGCCGCCUUCGCCACCGGUAUUCCUCCAGAUCUCUACGCAUUUCACCGCUACACCUGGAAUUCUACCCCCCUCUACAAGACUCUAGCUUGCCAGUUUCAAAUGCAGUUCCCACGUUAAGCGCGGGGAUUUCACAUCUGACUUAACAAACCGCCUGCGUGCGCUUUACGCCCAGUAAUUCCGAUUAACGCUUGCACCCUCCGUAUUACCGCGGCUGCUGGCACGGAGUUAGCCGGUGCUUCUUCUGCGAGUAACGUCAAUGCAAUGUGCUAUUAACACAUUGCCCUUCCUCCUCGCUAAAAGUGCUUUACAACCCUAAGGCCUUCUUCACACACGCGGCAUGGCUGCAUCAGGCUUGCGCCCAUUGUGCAAUAUUCCCCACUGCUGCCUCCCGUAGGAGUCUGGACCGUGUCUCAGUUCCAGUGUGGCUGGUCAUCCUCUCAGACCAGCUAGGGGAUCGUCGCCUAGGUGAGCCAUUACCCCCACCUACUAGCNAAUUCCCAUCUUGGGGCACAUCCUGAUGGGCGUUGAAGGGCCCGAAGGGGUCCCCCCAACUUUUGGGGUUCCCGUAAAACCGUUUAAUUGCCCGGGUAUUUAAGCCCUACCCCGGUUUUUCCCAGGUUAAAUUUUAAUUCCCCCCCCCUCCCCAUUCAAGGGGCANGUUUUUCCCCCANGAACAAUUUACCUCACCCCCCGGUUCCCCCCCCCGCNUCCGUUCCCCCCCCAAAAAGAAGCCAAGGCCCUCUCUCUGUGGUGCUUACCNGCCCUCCAACCUUUCCCUUUGUUGUUUAGGGGCCGGCNCCCCCCCCCCGGUUUUAAAAUUUAGAACCCCAGGGAUUCUAAAAAACACCANGUGNGUUUUCACCCGGUA